CGGCGGUCGCACCCGCGGCCGGGCCGCUCUGGGGGCAGGGGCCCCGGGACCUGGGGCAGCCCGGCCUGACCUCGACCUCGCCCGAGCCGGCCCGACCGUCUAGUUCCACCCGGUCAGCGCAGGCCGGGGCCCACGGGCCCCUCCCUCCACCUCCCCCCCCCUCCCCGCCCUGGCGCCCGGCUCGGGCCGCGCUCCCUCGCAGCGGCGGGGCCCGCAGGCGGCCAUGGCGGCGGGCGCCGGGGGCAGGCCGGCGCCGCGCUGGCUGAAGGCGCUGGCCGAGCCGCUGAGCGCGGCGCAGCUGCGGCGGCUGGAGGAGCACCGCUACAGCGCGGCGGGCGUCUCGCUGCUCGAGCCGCCGCUGCAGAUCUACUGGACCUGGCUGCUCCAGUGGAUCCCGCUGUGGAUGGCCCCCAACUCCAUCACCCUCCUGGGCCUGGCCAUCAACCUGCUAACCACCCUCCUGCUCAUCUCCUACUGCCCCACGGCCACCGAGGAGGCACCAUACUGGACAUACCUUUUAUGUGCACUGGGACUCUUUAUCUAUCAGUCACUGGAUGCUAUUGAUGGGAAACAAGCCAGAAGGACAAAUUCUUGUUCCCCUUUAGGGGAACUUUUUGACCAUGGUUGUGACUCUCUUUCCACAGUAUUUAUGGCAAUUGGAGCUUCAAUUGCGGUGCGCUUAGGAACUCAUCCUGACUGGUUGUUUUUCUGCUCUUUUAUUGGGAUGUUCAUGUUUUAUUGUGCUCAUUGGCAGACUUAUGUUUCAGGCGUGUUGAGGUUUGGAAAAGUGGAUGUAACUGAAAUUCAGUUAGCUUUAGUGAUGGUCUUCGUGUUGUCUACAUUUGGAGGAGCAACAAUGUGGGACUAUACGAUACCCAUUCUAGAAAUAAAAUUGAAGAUCUUUCCAGUUCUUGGAGUAGUAGGUGGUGCAAUAUUUUCCUGUUCAAAUUAUUUCCAUGUUAUCCUCCAUGGUGGUGUUGGGAAGAAUGGAUCCACUAUAGCAGGCACUAGUGUCUUGUCACCUGGACUCCACAUAGGAAUAAUUAUUAUACUGGCAAUAAUGAUCUAUAAAAAGUCAGCAACUAACGUGUUUGAAAAGCAUCCUUGUCUUUAUACCCUUAUGUUUGGAUGUGUCUUUGCUAAAAUUUCACAAAAAUUGGUGAUAGCUCACAUGACCAAAAGUGAACUGUAUCUUCAAGACACUGUCUUUUUUGGCCCAGGUCUUUUGUUUUUAGACCAGUACUUUAAUAAUUUUGUAGACGAAUAUGUUGUUCUUUGGAUAGCAAUGGUCAUUUCUUCAUUUGAUAUGAUGAUGUACUUUAGUGCUUUGUGCCUGCAAAUUUCAAGACACCUUCAUCUAAAUAUCUUCAAGACUUCAUAUCAUGAAGCACCUGAACAGGUUCACAAGCAUAUUGACUAAUAGCCCAAGGAAAAGAGGAGAAGCAGUUAGGGGAACCUAUGAGUGAAGGAAAUUCCCCUUUGCAGGAGGUUCAAGUUCUUCCUUCAAAGAGUCAUCAGAAUAACAUGGACUGAAGAGACUUUCGAACACUUGCCAUCUCUUGCUGCUGCUGUUACAUGAAAGGAAAUAUUAAACAUUUGUUUAAUUUUUAGAUAAGUGUUAUACAUAUUUCAGCAAAUAAAAUAUUUCAAUGCUUGCAUUACUCCUUUUUUUCAAU